ensembl:misc_RNA Metazoa_SRP Metazoan signal recognition particle RNA
GCUGGGCAUGGUGGCACGUGCCUGUAAUCCCAGCUACUUGGAGUCUGAGGCAAGAGAAUCACUUGAACCCAGGAGCUGGAGGUUGCAGUGAGCCGAGAUCAUGCCACUGCACUCCAGCCUGGGCAAUAAAGUGAGACUCUGUCUCCA